UGAUAAUAUUAAUUUAAUUUAAAUAGCAGAUUAUAUAAGGGAAUAUGGUGAAAAUCCAUAACAGCCCCCGCUACUGUAAGUGCGGACAAAUAGUACAUAACCACUUAGAAAAGCAGAACUAUGUUGUUUUUCUAGGGAAGGGUACUAAGAGGAUGAAGCACAAGUCAGGAUAUCUUAUAUAAUCGUAGUUUUAGC
rnacentral:ncRNA from 2 species